GCAAAUGUGUCGUGAAGUGGAGAAUCUAUUUUUCUCCGAGCUAUUGGUCUAGUGGGGUUUCGUUGCAAGAAGGGAGUAAUUAUAUAUUAAAGAAAGGUGUUCUUUUGGUGGAAUUUUGGACUCUUCAACUAAAUUCAGAUUUGUUUGAGUUGUACCACAUUAUUGGAUAGUUUUAUUCUGGACGUGGCAAGUCAAGAGAUAUAUUGUUGGAUCGAUUUAUACCGCAGUGAAUUUGAAUCUCUUUAAAGAGAGUGAGAUAUAUGCGCCUCAG
rnacentral:lncRNA from 1 species